AAUUCUUUUCAUCUGUUGGAGCCGUCAAGAAAAAAAAAAAACAAGGGAUUUUUUUCUCCCACCAUCUCUCCUCUCUCGGGCUCUCUCUCCCGCCUCUCGUCUCUGCCGCCAUGACAUCUCUCCUUGUCGCCAGCACUCCUCUCUCUCACACACAGCCGGAUCUACUUUAUCUCACGCCCCACACCACCAUGGUUGGAGGAAGCAAGGCACGAUGAGGCCGGAGCCACACUUCCAUGGGAGAUGAAGGAUUGAGAAGAAGCUUGAUGGUUAAGGAGACAGGGCCGGUGGUGGUGCGGCUGUGGUUGUGGCGCGGCUCUGGUGGUGGUGCGGUGGAGGAGGCAAGGAGCCGGCUGAUUUAUUUUCUAGGAUUAAUUUUUUUUUUAGAAUUAGGUUUGGUUAAGUUUAGUUAGGUUAGCUUAAUUAGGUUUAGUUAAACUGGUUUAUUUAACUAAACCAGCUUAUUAUAAUUUUUUAGCUUAUUAUAAUUUUUUUAGGCUUUUAAUAUAUUCGUGUAUUUAAAUAUGUAUCUGUAUGUAUAUAUAUUUCGUUAUAUAUAUUUAUUUACAUUUUUUUA